GGCAGGGAAUGGAAUAUGGAGUGUAAAAAUGAAUUACAAAUAAAAUUAAAUUAAAAAUAUAAAAAAUAAAAUGCAAAAAAAAAAAAACCAAAAAACAUUUAAUCCGAUUUUUCAUUUUCUCUAGUGUGUUUAAAAAAAAAUUCUAGUUAAAAAGUCUGCAUAAAAAGUCUUUAAAUGCUUUUCUUGCUCUUAAUUACUUUGUGUUAUUGCCAGACAUGUUCUUUUUUUUUUUAAAAUAAAGUUUUAAAACAAAGUCUGUGCUCAUCUCUCUGUUGCUGGGUUUCCUUGUAUGUUUGUAGGCAUUGUGCUGAGGUUUCGGGAUCUCAUAAGAGCCAGCUAGCCAGAGGAGGGAAUAAGCUCAAUAGCUUUUUUUUUUUUUUCUAGCCUGAGGAGGACUUGAGAUCUGAAAAGGCAUCAUGGAGUAACUUCUCAUGUGUUUGCAUGUCUGCCUGGACACAGUGUAACCCUGUGCAGGCAUCAUUUCAGAUCUUGUGGUAAGGCAGUCCCUUUUAUAGCUCUUCCAUAUGUUUGUGGACAAUAUAAGGACAUGACCUUGAAGAAGAAGAUUAUCUACUAGAGUAACAUGAUCCAAAUAAUAACUCCAAGCAUAUGGCUUCUUGACUCCCAACAGGAGAAUGAGUAUCUGUUGUGUCCUUCCAUAGUAUCUUGGAGAGGAGAACAUGAGAGAUGAUGGUAGAGACAUUAUGUCCAAGGGACACGCAUCUUCUCUCCCUAGAAACAAACGUCCAAGGUUUUCUGUUAGAUGACGAUCAGUUGUAUAUGAAAGUUAGGUUGCCUUUUAUUACAUGAUAAAAGAUAACCUUUCAUAGUUAUGAAUUAAUGAAUAUGAACUAAUAGAAUAUAAAUACUUUGCAUUAUAUUAAUGAAGUAAUAUAUUAAUGAAUAUGUAUACAUGAGUGAAGUUAUAUUAAUGAAUGAAGCUUUGAUAAAAGAUAACCUUCCUCAGUUACAUUAAUGAAUGAAUACAAUUUUGAUUCCUAUUUGGCUAGGUUAUUGACUUUUUACCUUUUCUAGUAUGUAACUGCAUUAAUUCCUAGCUCACCUCCAAUUUGAUUAUAGGAAAAUUGUGACAGUUGCUGUCACAUACCACCUUUCCCUCCCAGACACAUAUAAACAUGCAAUUUAAAGAAGGUUGCUUUGUUAUGCAAUAGUUUACAUCUCACCUGAAUGCCUUUUAAGAAUAUUUAAAUACUUACCCAACAAAACCAGGUUAGUCUUAAAACACCACAGCAAUUCAUGAAAACACAUUGCCCUUUUUGUGUUAGAAUGGAGGGGUUGGAGCAGAAAGUGGGAAUUAAGGGGUUGAUGAAAUCAGAAGCUGUCUGGAAGAGACAGUGGCAGUCGAAAACUUAGUGAAAGCCAGCACAGUCUUAAUACUGGACUCAGUUUUCAAAUAAUUCCUUCUAAGAUGGAUGCUUAAACAAUACGGUCAGUGAAACUGACCUUGGGACUCCAGGGGGUAACAUGGAGGAAUACAGCAAGUUUCCUUUCUUUGCCCUUUAAAAGAAUUCCCAGUUCACUCACCAUGGAAAAGAAUGAUACAUAGAUAUGCAAUGAUCAAUGUGAUUUUCUGAAGCUAUAAUUAGAACAAGAUCACAAUCACCACCUUCUCUCUUCCUCUAUUUACUAACUAUAAUUUUCUCUUAAAGUCUUCACCAUAGGUAACAUAUUAAGAAUGUAAGCAUCAGGAAAUGUAGAAUGGCGAAACAAUGGUCUUGGAUAAUUUGGAACCUAUUAAUAACUUUGAGGCAGAGGACAAAUUCAUCAUCACAAUGACAUUGGGAAUAGUUAUAACAGCAGCUGUAUGGUUAUGCCUUGUUUUUGAGCCCAGUUAAAUAGAUUAUGGAUGCCACCAUGUUGUCUUAUAGCCAUAUAAGACAAGUACUGACACUCUCAACCAGGUAUUUUUGUUCAAGGCUGUGGACGUAGAAACAAAUGGUCAGAGAGGGUAAGUAGCUUUCUGAAGGUCAUGUUAGUAAUUAAAUGUUUCUUUUUUAAACCUUUACCUAUCAGUGC
rnacentral:lncRNA from 1 species